CCGUGGGGCCCCAGCCUCCAGCCCGAGGCACAGGGCUCCGCAACCUGCAGCCUGAAUGAGAGGGAAUCGAGGAGAUGACGCCCUUAAGCUCUGAAAAGACAUUUUCCCAAGCAGCUGGCCAGGCCCCACCCGCUCCGGGGGAUUUUCCAAUCUGCUCCCGAAAGGCCCAGCUCCCAGCGUAUCGGGAUCAUUCCGGGACACGGCGUAGGCCCACUUCCCUGGCCCCGGCCCCGAGCCCCUGAGCAGAGCCCAUCCGAAGGUCCCUCCUGCUGCCUUUCCCGUCAGUGAUCUGCAACAGGGGGCUGGAGAUGAGGGGAGAGGGGCCCCCCCGGAGCCCUCCUCUCCUUCGCAGCCUCAGGCCGCCGAGGUACAAGACCUCGUACCGGAGGUACCAGAAUGUUCAGCGCCCUCGUGCGACAUGGAAAUAAGUCCUGGCUUGUGCUGCCCAGAGCCCAAGGGCCUGCAGCGAUGACUCGGAGAACAGCCGGCAUCCCUUCCCAGGAGAGGGUGGCUCGCCCCCGACCCGAGUGCCAUCCCUGCGCGCCGGUGCCCUCGUGGAAAAUGGGGCGGCCUCUCCACAAGGCGGUUGUGAGAAGCCAGUGGGACGGGCAGCAGCGUGCGCCCUGCGCAUCGUCAGGUAUUUUCCAGAGCCGCCUUUCCCCUUCCUGCCCUGCCUCUGUCACCUCAGAUUUGGCGUCUGUGGCUCGUGAAUCCCGGGGCCGGUUUUGGAACCGGCACUUAGUAGGGGCAGACAAAGGUGCCUCGGCCGCCUCGCCCCGGCCGCCUCUUCUGCGCCGAGGUUGUGGCACGCGGGGGCCUCGGGGGCCUCGGGAGACGAGGCUGGCAGGGGCAGGCACAGUUGGUGCGUGGCAAACCGAACCUGUCAAUUCCAGAAGCGUUUGGCACAUUGUUGAAGCGACUAGAUGACUUUGAGAAGUGUCUGCGUGUUUUUUCCCCAAGUGUAGUUAUUUUUGCCGCUGUGAAAUGUUCUGAAAUCUGACAGUUUUGUUUUGAGUCUUAGCCCGAUGUGAAGACAGAAAGGAACACUGCCUCCCAGUUCUGUGGCACUCGCUUCUUGGGGUCCCCUGAGGACACCCUGAUCCUGGCAGAGGUGGGCGAGGGGACGCCAGGUGACCGAGGUCUCCCAGGUGUGAGCGCACAGUGGGUCGGGCCUGGGAGCCUCCAGACCCACUCGGGGCCCGAGACCAAGGGCUGAUUUGGCCAAAGUUAAAGCACCUACUGUGCGCCGGGCCCUCGCAGCAUUUAUUGAGCGCCCGUGAUGUUCAUCCUCAGACACAGACUAGGCACCUACUGUGUGUCAGGCCUCCGUCCACCCAACGUUUACCAGGCACCUGCCAUGUGGUGUAGAGACACCGGAGGGCUCUCGGCACGGGGCUGACAAGCUCCCCUUUCGCACUGCUGGCAGGAGGCAGGUGAGGGGGCUGCCGAAGGGGCGGAGACCCCGGAGGAGGGAGAGAUGACUCGAAUGCCGUCCCGGCUCCUCCAAAGCCCGCAGCCCAGCCGGGACCCUGCUGGGGAGCGGCCCAGGGCGGGAGGAUCCGCGUGCAACAGGGGGACUGGAUACCGUCCCCAUCCCCUCUGCCACCCUCUUCCCACCCUCUAGCUGACCCCAUGCAGCCCACGUUGUCCCCGCCACGGGUGCCACGUGCCCGGGCCGCUCCGGGCGUCCCACACCGCGUCUCUCGCCCGCAAACCUCUCACGGGCCUCCUCAGCGAUGUGGGCCGUGCCUGGGUCUCCUGGGCGGGCAGCGUCGUGCCUGCCUUCUCCUCGGGGUCGUGGACUCCGAGCACAGGGUCAGAAGGCCAUAAGGUGACGUCGCUGAGAGCCGGCGGAGCGCCCGGCCUUACCUGCGUCGUCUCACCGGACCGCAGCGCCCCGGGGAGGCAGCGCGGACCGCAGUCCCCA
rnacentral:lncRNA from 1 species